rnacentral:rRNA from 1 species
GACGAACGCUGGCGGCGUGCUUAACACAUGCAAGUCGAACGCUGAAGCCCUUUCGGGGGUGGAUGAGUGGCGAACGGGUGAGUAACACGUGGGUAAUCUGCCCUGCACUCUGGGAUAAGCCUUUGAAACGGGGUCUAAUACCGGAUAGGACACCUCGCCGCAUGGUGUGUGUGUGGAAAGUUCCGGCGGUGCACGUGGAGCCCGCGGCCUGUCAGCUUGUUGGUGGGGUGAUGGCCUACCAAGGCGACGACGGGUAGCCGGCCUGAGAGGGUGACCGGCCACACUGGGACUGAGACACGGCCCAGACUCCUACGGGAGGCAGCAGUGGGGAAUCUUGCGCAAUGGGCGAAAGCCUGACGCAGCAACGCCGCGUGGGGGAUGACGGCCUUCGGGUUGUAAACCUCUUUCGACCGGGACGAAGGGUGACUGACGGUACCGGUAGAAGAAGCACCGGCUAACUACGUGCCAGCAGCCGCGGUAA